rnacentral:misc_RNA from 1 species
CAGACUUGUUGGCAAGGUCUGUUAGAAGUCUUACUGUAUAAAUCUAGGUGUGAAUUCAAGCAGAACCUUGAAGUCUGUCUGUCUUCAACUGCUAAAACAAUUAUUGGUCUAAUGGAAAUCCAUUGCCCUUAGUGUUGAGAGCUUGUAAGGUAGUCAUCUCCAUUUGUUUACAGUAGAAAAUUUGAUGAAAGACUGGAUGGACAAAAUUAUGAUAUUCUGGGGUAUUUGCUUAGAAAACCUUGAUGCUGUAGCUAUGAGUUUUAUUAACUGUUUGUGUGAGGAGAAGGAACUUUGUUGG